rnacentral:rRNA from 1 species
UACGAAGGGGGCUAGCGUUGCUCGGAAUCACUGGGCGUAAAGCGCACGUAGGCGGAUUGUUAAGUCAGGGGUGAAAUCCUGGAGCUCAACUCCAGAACUGCCUUUGAUACUGGCGAUCUUGAGUCCGGGAGAGGUGAGUGGAACUGCGAGUGUAGAGGUGAAAUUCGUAGAUAUUCGCAAGAACACCAGUGGCGAAGGCGGCAUCCUGGACCGGCAUUGACGCUGAGGCGCGAAAGCUAGGGGAGCAAACGGG